rnacentral:hammerhead_ribozyme from 10 species
AACUGGUCGGGAGCUAUUGUCGUUUUCCUGAUGAGCCUAUGGAAGGGUGAAACUAAUU